rnacentral:rRNA from 1 species
GACGAACGCUGGCGGCGUGCUUAACACAUGCAAGUCGAGCGGUAAGGCCCCUUCGGGGGUACACGAGCGGCGAACGGGUGAGUAACACGUGAGCAAUCUGCCCAUCACAUCGGGAUAACUCCGGGAAACCGAAGCUAAUACCGAAUACGACCACUUCAGGCAUCUGACGGUGGUGGAAAGUCCCGGCGGUGAUGGAUGAGCUCGCGGCCUAUCAGCUAGUUGGUGGGGUAAUGGCCUACCAAGGCUUCGACGGGUAGCCGGCCUGAGAGGGUGACCGGCCACACUGGGACUGAGACACGGCCCAGACUCCUACGGGAGGCAGCAGUGGGGAAUAUUGGACAAUGGGCGAAAGCCUGAUCCAGCAACGCCGCGUGAGGGAUGACGGCCUUCGGGUUGUAAACCUCUUUCAGCAGGGACGAAGCGCAAGUGACGGUACCUGCAGAAGAAGCACCGGCCAACUACGUGCCAGCCGCCGCAGUAAAAC